rnacentral:rRNA from 1 species
CAGUCGCCGCGGUAAUACGUAUGUCGCAAGCGUUAUCCGGAAUUAUUGGGCUUAAAGGGCAUCUAGGCGGUUUUUCAAGUCAGGGGUGAAAACUUAUGGCUCAACCAUAAGCUUGCCUUUGAAACUGAAAAACUAGAGUACUGGAGAGGUGGGUGGAACUACACAAGUAGAGGUGAAAUUCGUAGAUAUGUGUAGGAAUGCCGAUGAUGAAGAUAACUCACUGGACAGAAACUGACGCUGAAGUGCGAAAGCUAGGGGAGCAAACAGGAUUAGAUACCCCCGUAGUCCCUGUCUCUUAUAC